AGUGAACGCUGGCGGUAGGCCUAACACAUGCAAGUCGAACGGCAGCACAGUAAGAGCUUGCUCUUACGGGUGGCGAGUGGCGGACGGGUGAGGAAUACAUCGGAAUCUACUUUUUCGUGGGGGAUAACGUAGGGAAACUUACGCUAAUACCGCAUACGACCUACGGGUGAAAGCAGGGGAUCUUCGGACCUUGCGCGAUUGAAUGAGCCGAUGUCGGAUUAGCUAGUUGGCGGGGUAAAGGCCCACCAAGGCGACGAUCCGUAGCUGGUCUGAGAGGAUGAUCAGCAACACUGGAACUGAGACACGGUCCAGACUCCUACGGGAGGCAGCAGUGGGGAAUAUUGGACAAAGGGCGCAAGCCUGAUCCAGCCAUACCGCGUGGGUGAAGAAGGCCUUCGGGUUGUAAAGCCCUUUUGUUGGGAAAGAAAAGCAGCAGGCUAAUACCCCGCUGUUCUGACGGUACCCAAAGAAUAAGCACCGGCUAACUUCGUG
rnacentral:rRNA from 1 species